CUUUGAGCGAUUCGUCUAAGUGAUAACGUGUUUCCAAAUGUCCAGGUAAUGCCUGAAGCACUUCCUGUUGCCUUUAGCGAACGUUUCGGCCGGAUCUAUCAUAAUCCUAAUGGGUCAUGUAUUCUUCAGCUGGCGGAGGGGGGCUCACUGUAAAAUCCCUUAUAGGACACAGGUUGACAUACUUAAACCAGGACAAAACACCACCACAUCAUCAUCGUGAUCUAAAAGCUUAUCUUCUAAAUGGAUGGAUGAUCGAGUGAACAACUCCAUAAAUGCCCUGCCCGUAUUCCAGACGUGACGACAAUUAACUUUUCUUACCCUAAAGAAAAACUCUACGCCAGAAAACCGAAGUUAUCUCACUUCACUUGCUUCGUGACGGAUAUGGUUCUACUUUUUAUUACGAUUUGUUCUUCGCUCUUCCGGUAUUCCGAAGGAUAACCGUCACGGCAAGCAACUUCUAGCUUAAGUGGUUUAUGUCACUUUAUUCCAACGCAUUCGCUUAUUCAAACUUAUGUAAGAAAUAGACUCUGGAAAUGACAUCGCGU